rnacentral:rRNA from 1 species
AUACGUAGGGUGCAAGCGUUAAUCGGAAUUACUGGGCGUACAGCGUGCGCAGGCGGUUUUGUAAGACAGAGGUGAAAUCCCCGGGCUCAACCUGGGAACUGCCUUUGUGACUGCAAGGCUAGAGUACGGCAGAGGGGGAUGGAAUUCCGCGGGUAGGAGUGAAAAGCGUAGAUAUGCGGAGGAACACCUAUGGCGAAGGGAAUCCCCUGUGCCUGUACUGACGCUCCAUCACGAACGCGUGGGGAGCAAACAGGAUUAGAUGCCCUGGUAUUCCGCUCCCUAAACGAUGUCAACUGGUUGUUGGGUCUUCAUUGACUCAGUAACGAAGCUAACGCGUGAAGUUGUCCGCCUGGGGAGUACGGCCGCAAGUUUGAAACUCAAAGGAAUUGACAGGG